rnacentral:rRNA from 1 species
UACGGAGGGUGCGAGCGUUGUCCGGAAUCAUUGGGCGUAAAGGGCGCGUAGGUGGCGGGACAAGCGUGCGGUGAAAGCCUGGGGCUCAACCCCGGGUCGGCCGUGCGAACUGUUUUGCUUGAGCACUGUAGAGGCAGGCGGAAUUCCGGGUGUAGCGGUGGAAUGCGUAGAGAUCCGGAAGAACACCAGUGGCGAAGGCGGCCCGCUGGGCAGUGGCUGACGCUGAAGCGCGACAGCGUGGGGAGCAAACAGG